CUAGACGCCGUACGUGCCAGAUGGUGUUACCUGGAGCUUAAAAAGCUGCACGCAAGUGUUAAAUUUCUGGAGGAAUACUGUUGGGGUUCAAAAGCAUUGCUGUUUCAGUUAAGUAGUUCCUUAAUUACUUACAAUGUAGUAAGGCUACAUUGAAGGAAGAUAUAAAUUUCAGUCAAGACUACGACUCAGCAAAGGAAAAAAAGGAAGAAUGUUCAAGGUGUCUGUGCAAGAGAACAGUUAGAGCAGGCUGGCUAGAGCAGUGUUUAUAGGGACGUAACAGGAGAUAUGUGUGGCAGAUUUAGGGUAGAUUCAGAGUGCCAGUAAUAUGCCAAGCCAAGGCACGUUGCCCCUUAUACAUUGGGAAAACUGUUGAAGGUUUUUAACAUUGGGAAGGUCGAUCGCAUAGCUUGGUGCCAGAUAGCCACUGUGCAGAUGGCUUAAGCCAGGAGUUGGCAGACUUCCUGUUAAAGGUCGGACACUAAAUAUUUUGGACUUUGUGGGUCAUAGUUAUAGCAGGAAAGCAGCCAUAUCAGCACAUGAUUGAAUGGACAUAACUGUAUUCCAAUUAAACUUUAUUUUUUAAUUAAUUAAUUUUUUUGAGACAGAGUCUUGCUCUGUCACUCAGGCUGGAGUGCACUGGUGCAAUCUUGGCUCACUGCAACCUCCGCCUUCCGGAUUCAAGCGAUUCUCCUUCCUCAGUCUCCCGAGUAGCUGGGAUCACAGGCAUGUGCCACCAUGCCCAGCUAAUUUUUGUAUUUG
rnacentral:sRNA from 1 species